rnacentral:rRNA from 1 species
GCGAACGACGUGCGAGGGGGAGAGGGAAUAUGUGGGGUGUGGUCGUUGUCCGGAAUUAUGGGGCUGAAAGAGUGCGGAGGCGGUCUGUCGCGUCGGGAGUGAAAACGCAAGGCUUAACUCUGAGACUGCGUGCGAUACUGGCAGACUAGAGGGAUGCAGGGGGGAAGGGAAUUCCUGGUGUAGCGGUGAAAUGCGCAGAUAUCAGGAGGAACAGCGGUGGCGAAGGGGGUUCUGUGGGCAUUACCUGAGGCUGAGGAGCGAAAGUGUGGGGAGCGAACAGGAUUAGAUACCCGGGUAGUC